GGAGGAGGCGGGAGGCGGUGACGGCUGACCCUCCUGGGAGCUGCGGGGAGCGGUUUCUGUCUGGACAGUCGGCCGUCCACUGCCAUCGGAAGAAGCCAGAGAGGAACGGGGGUCCCUCGGGUGCCCUGCUUAUGCCGAGUGGGUGCACGGUAUUUUCUGAAUGGGACUGUUGUGCUUCACCAAGGCAUUCCAGGUGUGACCAGGGCCCUUCCGGGGUCUUCUCUGUGGACCUACGGAGGCCGAGUUAUCCAGUCUGCCCAUGGCUGUCCCAGUCUUCCAGCUUCUUGUGUCUGAUGUCCGAGAAUCCAGUCGGCAGCCUGACCUAGAUCAAAAUCCUGUCUGCAACCCUGUCCGGGCCGCCACUCAGGCACCGUGCCCCACCUCAGUGAGGAGGCUGAGAUGUAACCUGCGAAGAACUGAGGAACAGCGAGGAUGUAGAGACUCAUCAGCAGUGGCUGGUGUUAUAAAUUUCUCCUCCCGGUGCUAGAUGGUAGAGAGCAAAGGAGUGCAGGACCUACAACAGAGAGUACCGAGAUUUCUCUGAGGACUCCCUGGACCAGGAAGUCUUUACUUGGUAGAACACCUCAUCUUGGAAACUGCCUCAGGUGUUCUCUGAACCUGUUUUCCAAAGCAACUCUACAACCAGCUCUCCACCUGGGCACUACUGUUGAUUCUUGGGGUCACCCUUCUGAUAAUACUUACAUGUGACACUGAACCCUUAGCCUUCCAGCCUUCCAUGACAAGGAUGGAAAAUGAAUGGAACUGUAAAAAUAUGCCAUGAUAUUCCUCUACACAAGCAAUCAUCACAGGUAUUUAUUUACCUUUACAAAAUAUUCAUAAAGUCCCUCUACAGUAGUCCAUUUAUAGGAAAUGCUAAAAAUGAGAGAAAAGAUGAAAGAAAAAGAAUGAAUGAAAUAAACUCAAGUUUACCACAAGUCAGUGACAUUUAAUUCCUGGGAAGCUAGCUAUCUUUGAAUGCUUUCCUGGUUCUUUAAGCUUUUAUCUACUAUUAAAAAAUUGACCUGUGUUGGUUGCUGUAUGUCAUUUGUAGAGAACUGUGGAAGCUAAUUAAAAACAAAACCAAAAGCCACAGAUGUAAUUAUUAUAUAAUGAGAGGAUAACAUUAGCUGAUGCUAUUACAAAUACCGAAAGUGAAUUUUAAUUAGAACCCAGAUGGUAACUAAAAAAUUAUAUAUAAAGAAAUUUCACUUUUACUACCACUUUGCAAAAUAAUUAUACAUCACAAGUAUUGCUCAGGUACUGUGUUAGUCAGCAUUUUGUCACUGUGACAAAAUACCUGAGUUUAUAUUGGCUGCUGGUUUCAGAGAUUUCAGGCCAUGGUCAUCUGGCUGUGUUGCCUUUGGACCUGUGGUAGUGCAGUGCCUUGAAAUGGGAGUACAUGAGAGAGAUGUUUUGCUCACUUCAUGGUGGCCAGGAAGCAAAAGAGCGAAAAGGGACUGGGGUCCCAAUAUCAAGUUCAAAUGCACAUUCCCAGUGACCUCACUUCCUUCUCCUAUGCUCCACCUCUUGAGCUUUCACCUCCCCCCAGAAGUGCCAUAGGAUGGUGACCAAGCCUUUCACACAUGUGCCCUGUGGGACACCCUAGACCCAAACUGUAGCAGGUAUAAACCAGGUUCCCUGGGAAUGAUGACUGUUCUUGAUCUUAGCCUGUGCAACACAAAUAAAUAAGCAUGCAUACCUUAUCAAGACCAGUUUGAGGAAUCUGAUACUGCAGGCAUGCAAGAUUUAGCACCAUUUGGAACAUGCAGUCAUCUAGCACCAAAA